UCUCUGUAGCUGAACUGAGUGUAAGCUUGCAUUCUUGUUGCAUUGUCUAAAAUUUCAGCCUAGUGGAAAAAAAGGAAAACUUACAGCUGCAGCUUUUCUAGAUGUUUUAAUGUCUGAACAGCAUGUCUGCUUUGGGUCUUUAUUGGCUUUCUAGCAAGAGCAUGCCAAAUUUUCCACUUCUUUGAAAUUCCUCAAGUUUUUAGUAUCUUGUUAAUUUGGUGGCUCUGGGGAAUGUGCCUGUUCACAUCAGUACACAUCUCCAGCUCACUAGCAAUCACUGCCAUGCUGAAUGCUGUCCACAUGUUCCUGCUGUGUUUCCUGGUUUCCAUCAUUUCCUGUCUGCAGCAAUGCCUCAUCCCAUUACCAAGUGGUACCUCUCUGUAGAGGUUCUGCUGUGGAGGCCCCACCCUGAGUCUCUAGCUCCAGACAUCCAGUUUAGUUGGGUAUAAACAGGUCCAUCUUCACCCAUAUGAGAACAUCACAGUGCUCAGUCAAUUUUCCUGCAGCUGCAUGGCAUGACCAGCAGUCAAGCUCAAUUUCUGCCUUUUGCAGCCCCUGGAUGAAGCCCUGGUUUAUUCAGUUCAGAGCUCAGCAUGCUGACUGCAGCACAGCCAAAGGGGUGAAAUGCAGAGCAUGAAGCUGACACAGAGGUAUUCUGCACCAAGAAGUCAAGUGGACAUAGAGUGACAGCCACGUGGUGCUUCGGUGCCAUGCGGGGCGUGGAGGGAAGAGGUCACACAACCCAGACUGGUCAAUCACAGGCUUUGAAAAACAGGAAAUCAACUGAGUAUUAUCCCUACGAAACACACAGUACCCGAGUACAGGCUUGAUUCACAGCUCUUUCACUGCAGAAGAGGCAAGAAGUGUGCCUUGGAGGUGAUGUCCAGAGUUACAAAUCAAUUAACCCUGGAUGGCAGCAGUUAUGGCAGCACUUAUGGCAGUCUCCAAGCACCUCAGGUCAUCGUUUGCUGUGUUGGCAUGACAGGAAGCUGACACAAAGUGUGAUCACAAUUUGUGUACAUCUAACAGGUGUAGAUCGUGUCAGGACAAAAAUCCACCUGUUCACCAGUCUGACUUCUGGAAUUUGCCUGGGGAACAAAUGUAAGCACCACCCUGUUGUCUCAGUCCUUGUAGGAAUCUGUGAAUAGUGACUUCAUCCUUGCAUGCAUGAGCAUGCCAAAGCAAUAGAUAAUACAGGCAGAGAGCAAAACACUUGCAAAAAGAUUCUGCAUUUUGUUUCUUUGCAUAAUUUGGAGUUAAUUUCAUCAUAACCUGACAUUUUGAUGAUCAGAAUCAUAAGUUUGCAGCUACUUCUUACUAGUGAAAAAUACCUGGAUUGAAAUUUUCCCUUCUGGUUUCCUGCAUAGUACAGGGGGAAGGAAGACCUGUACUACUUCUGGGGACACUUCCUAAUGCAAGACAGACUCUUCCUGAGUGAAGAUAGUGAUUGGAUACCUACACUUUACCCUUCUCUUCUCCAGACUAAUCAAAUGCAGUUACCUCAUCCUCUCUUAACAUAUCAUGCUCCCCAGUUCCUGAUAAUUUAGUAGCCUCUCACUGGCCUCACCCUGUUUGCCACUCUCCCUCCUGCUCUGGAGGGCCUGGUUACAAUACCCCAGGUGUGUCUUCACAAAGGCUGAAUAGAGGGAAGUAACAUUUUCCCAUAAUAUCAUGGUUAAAUCAUGGUUCCAGAGUAUUUACUGUCCAUUCCUGUAAACACAGUUCCCAAGAGUACCAGGAGUAAAUAACAUAACCCUUUUAACAAUGUUAUGGUCUUAAGUCAUUGUGGUCUCAUUUGCAGAAGUUUUGGUAACUCCUUGGAACAGCUGAAAUCAGGUGACUUAGUUUGAACAAAAGAGAUUUUAUUUAUUGAUGUUUCCGAAAAAUUAUUUUAAAAUGAGCCCAGCCUAUUGCAGUAAUAUUAGCCACAGCUAGAGGAUAUAUUGUUCUUUUUAAAAUUAUUUGUGCCUUGUUUCUGGUCUUUCUGCUAGGUCGUGCUCAUGCCAGAGGUUGCUAAGAAGCCUGACUACAGUUUGUGAAACCCUCAGACACUGAAACAAACACCAUAUUUUGCAGUGUAAAAGGACACUGCAAAAUAUGGAAAUUCUGUAUAUGAAUCAAAAACAAAUCAUGCCUUGUGCUGAAGUGGAAAGGAGUCAC